UACGGGGGGAGCAAGCGUUGUUCGGAUUUACUGGGCGUAAAGGGCGCGUAGGCGGCCUCCGCAAGUCAGUUGUGAAAUCUCCGAGCUUAACUCGGAAAGGUCAACUGAUACUGCGGGGCUAGAGUGCGGAAGGGGCAACUGGAAUUCUUGGUGUAGCGGUGAAAUGCGUAGAUAUCAAGAGGAACACCUGCGGCGAAGGCGGGUCUCUGGGCCGAUACUGACGCUGAGGAGCGAAAGCGUGGGGGAGCGAACAGG
rnacentral:rRNA from 1 species